rnacentral:rRNA from 1 species
CUUUAUUGGAGAGUUUGAUCCUGGCUCAGGACGAACGCUGGCGGCGUGCCUAAUACAUGCAAGUCGAGCGGACUGAUGGGAGCUUGCUCCCUGAUGUUAGCGGCGGACGGGUGAGUAACACGUGGGCAACCUGCCUGUAAGACUGGGAUAACUCCGGGAAACCGGGGCUAAUACCGGAUAAUUCAUUCCCUCUCAUGAGGGGAUGC